rnacentral:rRNA from 1 species
UACGGGGGGGGCAAGCGUUGUUCGGAAUUACGGGGCGUAAAGGGCUCGUAGGUGGCCAACUAAGUCAUACGUGAAAUCCCUCAGCUUAACUGGGGAACUGCAUCUGAUACUGGAUGGCUUGAGUUUGGGAGAGGGAUGCGGAAUUCCAGGUGUAGCGGUGAAAUGCGUAGAUAUCUGGAGGAACACCGGUGGCGAAGGCGGCAUCCUGGACCAAUACUGACACUGAGGAGCGAAAGCGUGGGGAGCAAACAGG